ACUGCGAGUUUGAUCCUGGCUCAGGAUGAACGCUGGCGGCGUGCCUAAUACAUGCAAGUCGAGCGAAUGGAUUAAGAGCUUGCUCUUAUGAAGUUAGCGGCGGACGGGUGAGUAACACGUGGGUAACCUGCCCAUAAGACUGGGAUAACUCCGGGAAACCGGGGCUAAUACCGGAUAACAUUUUGAACCGCAUGGUUCGAAAUUGAAAGGCGGCUUCGGCUGUCACUUAUGGAUGGACCCGCGUCGCAUUAGCUAGUUGGUGAGGUAACGGCUCACCAAGGCAACGAUGCGUAGCCGACCUGAGAGGGUGAUCGGCCACACUGGGACUGAGACACGGGCCCAGACUCCUACGGGGAGGCAGCAGUAGGGGAAUCUUCCGCAAUGGACCGAAAGUCUGACGGAGCAACG
rnacentral:rRNA from 1 species